CAGGUCAGCAUACUGCCGUGAAUACGUUCCCGGGCCUUGUACACACCGCCCGUCACACCAUGAGAGUUGGAAAUACCCGAAGCCUGUGAGCUAACAGUAAUGAGGCAGCAGUCGAAGGUAGAGCCAAUGAUUGGGGUGAAGUCGUAACAAGGUAUC
rnacentral:rRNA from 1 species